rnacentral:lncRNA from 1 species
GACAAACAGAGCACAGCUUUAGCCUGGGAGCGAGCGUGGCUCGCAGUGCCCAUUGUUGCUCUAUCCAGAGAAUGAUUCACCCUCCCCAGGGCUGUGCCUUGCCUCCGCACGUUUCGCAAGGCUCUGCCUUUAUAACAGCGUGGUGCUGCACGCAGCGACUCCUGGCAGAUUGCUGGGCUGCCUGCAGAGCGGGGAGGCAGCAGCUAAUCCUCCUAAGGAUGAUUUUCCUCUUGCAGUAUUUCUUCCUGCUGGCCACAGACCUAGUGCUGGCCAUGACCCUUUCCUGCCUCUUUUAUGCCUUCGCAUGCGUGUCCAUCGCGCUGCUGACCUGCUGCGUUAUCGUCGUCUCCUUCGGCACCGCGGAGAGGAGCGCCCACGUGAAAGGGAGAGCAAUUGUAAUUCUUGUGUCCAACAGCUCCAUUGGGAGGAUGUUUGCGAGGAACCUGGACAGAGCAGGAUUCGGGGUGUCUGCUGCACACUGGUCUGCUCCAGAGGAGAGGACAGUGACAGAAGAGUGCUCGUUGAACAAGGAGGUAGCCCAGCUGCACCUGACUGAAGAUGAGUAUCAGAAGACAGUGAAAACCUUCAUAGAAAGCCACUUAUCCCUGAAAGGCAUGUACGGGAAGAUGAGGAAGCCGUGCAUCCUGCUCUGGGAUGAAGGGGCUCCGGACACGCGCGGGGUGCCUGACACAGAACCCUCCUGGGAGGGCAGGAAGGCUCCCAAGGCUGCCCGCAGGAACUGCUUACUGCAGACAGCCCUCUGCAUCUCAGUCCUCUGUCACCCACUGACCUGUGCCCUGACGCUCCUGAAGAGGGGCCCACAGCUGCUGGUGCCUCUGCUCAAGUCCAAAAACUGACAGCCAGCAAGGAAACCCACGGAGCACUACACACUGCCACUGUCACACCACAUGGAAAAAGGAGCAGAGCUGGGAUCAGAAGUGACAAACUCCUUGCAGCACGGGAUUGUGAGCAGUGACUUCAAUCGCAAGCCAACAAAAAACCGUGGAUGAAGACAGAAAACACCUUCAGAACCAUGACCCAGGUCAUGGUUCUCCCAACUCCCUUGCAAGUCUAAUCUGUAAGGAAGAGAACCCCAAGACGCUGAAAUUUUGGGUUGUUCUUUACAAUGCCAUACUGUGCACACAGAGGAAAAAUCAUCUGAGGUGCAAGGAAAUAAAGGAAGAAUUCUGCUGGGAAGCA